GUGUUGUACUGUCUAUGGCCUCGCCCGACCCACUAAGUAGAUUUGGUUUGUUCUCAUUCUUUAAACAACAAACUUGGUUUCAGGAACGACGUCCUCCGGGAAAUACCUUCCCAGAGUUAUGCCUUCAAUUGAGGUCUCCAUUUUCUAUCGAUUGUCUCCACAUCUCCAUCUGAGGCACCAUCCGAAUCCAGGCAGAAAUCUCAAGAGUUCUAAAGUAACAGGGGGCUGGGCCGGUAUUAGCCAGUAGGCAGAUGUACUUUGUCAUGGAGGCGACGUCUCCCUGAGCUUCCUGCUGAGUCCGUCCCUGGGACUCUCUUUGACAGGGAAAGAAGAAUUGAGCACGUGAUCAAAGAAGGGGAAGAGAAGAAGACUAAUAUGUUGGAUUGAAGGAGCUCUUGUGGCGUAGGAGAAGUGGUUGUGCUAAAGGUUGACCCAGGAAGCCCUGAAGGAUUAACCGUGAUUAAUAGUUAUAUAAAUUUACCGAGCACGAGGAGAUAAAAGGUCUGUUUCCUGUUUUUUUCUUGCUGGAGGAUGAAGAGGAUUAGUUGAAGGGAAUGUCUGUUGCAACCCACUGUGAAUAAUAAUUGGGUUAUUUGACAGUUAUUUUUACAUAACCUUAUAAUGUGUCUGUCAUAUAUUAUAUGCCCGUUUAAUCUGAUGGUCGUCUGAUACCAGGAACGUUAAUGGCAUAGUCUGCCAAUUUAGUGACUUUAGUGGCCUGUUAAGUUUAUAUUGGCGCAAUACUACUUGUACUUUAUUUUCAAAAACUAAUAAUAUUAAUAUAACUAAUCAUUUGCCAAAUUUAAUUGUGUUUUUGUUGUUUUGGCUACUGUUACUAGCAUUUCUAAAUCCCAAGAGAGCAGUUGUUUUCCAACUUACAAAGACAAUUUCCUUGUGUGGGAAGGAACCUUGGCAAUAAAUCAGAAUCUGAUUGUUUCUGAAUUAACAUUCACAUAGCCUGUCUUUAUACGAUUGUUAUAACAGCGUAUUAAAGCAUCUUCUAUAGCAUUGUUUCUCAACAGGGGCGUUCUCCCAACCAAGGGGGUGCUGGGAAUGUGAUUUUUCUUUUCUUUUUUGGG